rnacentral:rRNA from 1 species
AGCGUAGACGGUGUGGCAAGUCUGAUGUGAAAGGCAUGGGCUCAACCUGUGGAUUGCAUUGGAAACUGUCAUGCUUGAGUGCCGGAGGGGUAAGCGGAAUUCCUAGUGUAGCGGUGAAAUGCGUAGAUAUUAGGAGGAACACCAGUGGCGAAGGCGGCUUACUGGACGGUAACUGACGUUGAGGCUCGAAAGCGUGGGGAGCAAACA